rnacentral:lncRNA from 1 species
UGCUCCUCUCUUCUACUGUCUAAAAUACUCCUGAGUUUCUCUUGAACUCUCAAAUAUUUUCUAAUGGAUUUGAGUUCCUCCUGCUGACUUUAUGGCUGUUUACUUACUUUUGCUUGUUCUACUCUUCUAAAAAUUGCAACUGGUAUGUCCUUCUAGUUAAAUAAUACCCUCCAACUAUGUGUUUACUUUUCCUCUUCCGUUAUGCUUUCUUGCACUAUGUAUAUAUGUCCUAGUCUGUUAUGCUUCUUCUUUUAUGCUUCUGCACCUGUAAUCUGUCAUGCUUUAUUUCAUUCUUUGAGUUUACGUAAAUAUUUUCUAUGUGAGUCCCCUUCCCUUUGACCCCUUGUAUGAGAGUAUAGUUCUGGGUCAUGGUAGCAUCCUAUUGCUAUCCAUGACUCAAAACCAGGUUCUCUUGAACCUCUACUCAAGUCAAUUCCCCAUUCCCUUCUUCCCUUUUAUGUGCUGAGCCCUGACUCAAGUCUGGAGGUGUCCUAAUCACCACCUAGGCCCAAGUCCGACUCAUAAAGUCUGCUAUUUAUUUCUUUGGACCAAGCUGAGGGCCAGGGGUGUGCCAGUCUAUACCCAUGGCUGGGUAUGACCACCUUUUGCUAUGGUUCCCUAAUCCCUCUCACUUUGCACUCAUUCCUAGUUCUAAGUUCUGCCCCCUUUGGUAACCAUGCUUUGGGACCCUUGAGCUCCCUCUGAACUUGGAUGCCUGAGGGCUGGCAAUUCUACACUGCACUAUUCUGUUACAACAAUUGUUAUCCAGAGUGUAUGCACUGCCUGGGGUCCUUGAGGCUCCUUGAAACUUUGAAAUACAUUGGGUAAGAGAAGGCCUUGGAAAUAUGGAAUCUGGAUUUGGUAAAAUACAUGUUAUUGGAUAUUAAGAUUCAAUUAGGGUGCUUAGAUCUAGCUGUAGGCUGUGAUGUAUUUUUAGUUGUUUUCUUUCUUUCUUCUGAUUAUGUGAUUAUCUUGUAAAAAAGAACUCGGGG